AGUAAAAGUCGUAACAAGGUUUCCGUAGGUGAACCUGCGGAAGGAUCAUUACAUUCAGUAGCCUAGCUACUUGUUUUUACACCCUUGUUUUUUGCGUACCUAUUGUUUCCUCGGCGGGCUUGCUCGCCGGUUGGACAAAACUUAUAACCUUUUUUAAAUCUUCAAUCAGCGUCUGAAUUAUACAUAAUAAUUACAACUUUCAACAACGGAUCUCUUGGUUCUGGCAUCGAUGAAGAACGCAGCGAAAUGCGAUAAGUAGUGUGAAUUGCAGAAUUCAGUGAAUCAUCGAAUCUUUGAACGCACAUUGCGCCCCUUGGUAUUCCAUGGGGCAUGCCUGUUCGAGCGUCAUUUGUACCUUCAAGCUCUGCUUGGUGUUGGGCGUAUUGUCAAAUCCUCAGCGGUUAGACUCGCCUUAAAGUAAUUGGCAGCCAGUGUUUUUGGUAGUAAGCGCAGCACAUUUUGCGUCUUAGUCCGUCAACGGUGGCAUCCACAAAGCCUCUUUCUCACUUUUGACCUCGGAUCAGGUAGGGAUACCCGCUGAACUUAAGCAUAUCAAUAAGCGGAGGAAAAGAAACCAACAGGGAUUGCCUCAGUAACG
rnacentral:rRNA from 1 species